ensembl:lncRNA
UGUAUCAACAAUAGUUCGUUGCGGGACAAAGCAAUGGCCAUGCACAGUUUAAAUGAAGAUGAUCCACAUGAUCAUCAAAGUUUGGAAGGUCAAGUCCAGAAAAUGAAGAAUGAUAUCCUGGGUUUAAACUAUCCAGAAGAUAGUGAAGUGAAGGAUCCCCUGCCUCAGAUCGAGCUGAAGGCUGUGACAAGGAGAAAAGUUAAGACCAAGAGGAGGACCAGUGCCAACAGGUCCACAGUUGAACAGAGCACUGAUAGUGAUGCGGCUGAGAGAGAUUUUGUUGAUAAUCAGAAUGAUGAAGAUGAGGAAAAGGUGAAGAAGGAUCCCCUGCCUCAGAUGCAGCAGGAUGCCGUGAAAAGAAAUAAAGUCAAG